rnacentral:rRNA from 1 species
AGAGUUUGAUCAUGGCUCAGAACGAACGCUGGCGGCAGGCCUAACACAUGCAAGUCGAGCGCGCCCUUCGUGGUGAGCGGCGGACGGGUGAGUAACGCGUGGGAACGUACCCUUUGCUACGGAAUAGCCUCGGGAAACUGAGAGUAAUACCGUAUACGCCCUUUGGGGGAAAGAUUUAUCGGCAAAGGAUCGGCCCGCGUUGGAUUAGGUAGUUGGUGGGGUAAUGGCCCACCAAGCCGACGAUCCAUAGCUGGUUUGAGAGGAUGAUCAGCCACACUGGGACUGAGACACGGCCCAGACUCCUACGGGAGGCAGCAGUGGGGAAUCUUAGACAAUGGGGGCAACCCUGAUCUAGCCAUGCCGCGUGAGUGAUGAAGGCCUUAGGGUUGUAAAGCUCUUUCAGCUGGGAAGAUAAUGACGGUACCAGCAGAAGAAGCCCCGGCUAAAU